AUGCUCCUUGGACGCAGGGCCACCCAUCGUCCACCUCCCCAGGUGUGUGAGAGGCAGGCGACUUUGGCUCUGCCUUCCUGUCCCUCUCUGAGGUCGCUGACCCCGUGUCUACUUCCUCUCCAGGUAGAUGUCACGUGGCCCUGCCACAGAGCCGGUGGCGUUUCUGUCCUUCUGCUUGACGAGACCGACUUGGAGGAGGCCCACACACUGGACAGCCCUUCGCCUCUAGAGCUCUGUCUCCCAGGGCUGCACGCAUGCAUGCUCCCAGUGGGGGGAACACCGGCGUCAGGAUUCCCGACCCCCUCCACUUACAGGGCUGGGAGGCUGACCCAGACCUCAAGUUGGGUGGAGGAUAGAGUCCCCGCCACCUCCAAGACCCCGAUUAUAUUGACAGGCCAUGGCCACUGCAAAGCUCUGCUGCUCCCACCUGUGUGGCUUUAUUGGGUUCAUGGCGGCUGGCACCGUGGCAUCCUUUCACGGCCUCCGUUCAGGACGGAUGCCCGCUGGGGAUGCCAGCUUCACAGUAAGAGAACUGUCCACCUCCCCGUAAGGGGAUGCCCCGGAAGUGACCCCAGCCUUGGCGAUGGGUGGAUGUUCUGGUACCGUGGAGGACUGAUGGCCCACCUUCAGGAAGGGGAGCUGUGGCAGCAUGCCCACCAGGACAAGCUCCCCACCUGGAGGUGUGCUCCAACAGGUCUCCAACCUGAGGGCAGGGCGUGGUCCAUGAUAGGGGAGUGGAUGGUUGAUCAGAGAACAUACAUUUUCUCAAUGAUGUAUGUCAACUGA
rnacentral:lncRNA from 1 species